UACGUAGGGUGCAGGCGUUAAUCGGAAUUAUUGGGCGUAAAGGGCUCGUAGGCGGUCUGUCGCGUCGGGAGUGAAAACUCAGGGCUUAACCCUGAGCCUGCUUCCGAUACGGGCAGACUAGAGGUAUGCAGGGGAGAAUGGAAUUCCUGGUGUAGCGGUGAAAUGCGCAGAUAUCAGGAGGAACACCAGUGGCGAAGGCGGUUCUCUGGGCAUUACCUGACGCUGAGGAGCGAAAGCGUGGGGAGCAAACAGG
rnacentral:rRNA from 1 species